rnacentral:lncRNA from 1 species
AAAAGAAAGGGAAAGAAAAUGUGUAUUUGAGAUCAUUUAAUUCCUAACUCUCCAAAGUGUGUUUCACAUAGAGCAGCUUUGGUAUCAUCUGUCAGUUUCUUAGAAAUGUGGAAUACCAGGCCCUACCCUAGAACCACCAUUGCCAAAUGUGCAUUUGGUGAAAUCUCUGGGACAUUCCUAGACACACUCAAGUUUGAGAAGCACUAACAUAGGUCCAUUGCAAUAAAGAGGUUUCCACUGCAAUAAAGAGUUAGUGCGAUUCUGUCACAUCUUUUCUAUUUGUAGGACUGGGCUUGACGAUGUUGGGAUGAAAGGAAGGGGUCUUCUCCAGAAAGAACCUACAAUUUGUUUGGUAAUGGAAGGUGCUAUUCAUCUAUACCCUAACUCAGCUCCUGAUAUGCACAAGUUACUUCAGAAUGAGACAUAGGCUGGUUCUCCAGAAACACGUAUUGCAGCAAAGUGAAAGUAAUAUUUAUCCAAAUAUAAUUACAAGGCCAAAUUGCUUCAUUAGGCAUAAACAAAAAAUAAACAAAAUAAUGUACAAUCUUCAAGUGAAGGCAUCACACCCUCAGAGAAGUCAGUGCUACCAGAGGUGGCAUUUAGCCCACACCUAGACAGGCAGGUAGGACAUUAACCAAGAAACUACAGAACAAGGUAUUCCAGGUUUAAUCCAAAUGAGAAACAAAUAGCGAACCAAAGAGGUACACGGUCGUGUGCCACGUGUCCUGUGGAGGCAAAAAAAUAUAUAUGGCAAUGACUCCCUAAUAAACAAGACUACCAAAGGGUUCUGAGAGCUCUAAGAAACCGUAACCCAUGGCACUGAUCCGAGAGGCUCAAAUAUUGACUCAAUUGGGAGGUGGUGAAGUCCAACACCUGAAAGUUGAUGAUGUCCUGUUGGCUUCUUUCAGGUUGCUGUAUCUGAUGUGUAAUCACAUCAUUAAGAUAGCCAGGGCCAAUUUGUAAUGAACAAGAACCUUGUUUUCUGACACAUUACCCAAAGUUGCCAAAAACAGUAGUGAACUAUGUAUGAAGAAAAAGGCACCAUAAUAAUCUACACAUUGAAAUUCAGAAACAGGACACAAUGCCAGCAAUUACUGUAUCUGUAUAUGAAAGGCAUACUUCUCUGGCAUCAAUAAUACCACUUUAGGCUUUCUUGAGAGUAAUAUUUUACAUAAUGUAUAUAUUAAUAUCACAUUAAUAUUAAUGCUCUGGCCUUGGAAAACUUAUGAUAAUGAUAUAGCAUAAUUGUUUUGUUAAACCCUGUAGGUUGAGAAAUUUUUUUUUUAACUGGACAGAUUAAUUCAUCUGGAUAUUCUAAAAACACAUGGGUGGAACAGAGGCAAGAAAACCAGUUCUGACCAGACAUGGCAGAGACAAAGAGUAAGUUUUGAGGCCACUGGUGCAGAGUCACAUUGAAGGGUAAGAAUACUCAGUCGCUAAAUUGCAUGCAGAGUUCAUUUGGGUUUCCCCAAAGUGCCUGUAAGAAGGUUUCCGUCUGGCUCAGCAGACUAGCAGCAGCAAUGCUGACAGCAGGCAGUUAUCCAAUCCAGGUAGUCGGCGACACGCCACGUUAAUAACACACAAACCUGCAUUCACUGUAAGGCUAGAGAGAAUAAAACAAUGCGUGUUCAGGAGGUCAGAGUCCACCGAGUUCAGGGAGGUAGAGCUGGAAACCGGAGAAAGAGAUAAAUGGUUGAGAUAGGGAUGAUCAACGGCUGGUGGAUGGAAGGAAAGUUGGAUGUAGCUACUAUUUAUUCAGUAUCCAAGAUGGGCCAGUCAGUGCAUUAUGUAAUUUAAUACUCAUAAAAUGUUGCCAAGUAGACAGCUCUACUCUAUUUGAUAUAAAGAAAUGUGUUCCUCAGCAGGGGUCUCUAAUCCCAGGGCCAUGGACUGGUACUGGUCCACAGCCUGUGAAGAACCAGGGUGCCCAGCAGGAGAUGAGUGGUGGUGAGCAAGCAUUACCCCUGAGCUCUGCCUCCUCUCAGAUCAGCGGCGACAUUGGAUUUUCAUAGCAGGGUGAAU